GAGAGAAUGAGGUGGGGGCGCAUAUCAGAUGAGGACUGGAUAUUUUCCCCUCAUCCUCUUCGAUUCGGUUCUAGAGAAAAGAGAGGAGAGCUCCGUACCAGCCAUCAUUCCUCUCCCUCCAUUCCAGUUCCUUCGGUGUGGGUUGUGCGACUACUAUGAUCUGCAGUGCAGAAAGCUUGGGUCAGGAGUUUUCAUUCUUCUCCUAUGGCGAUUGCCGGCAUCGACUGGCAUCUCUGUCCGUGGGUUGAAUUUGUUCAAAUCUUCUUCUUCCUUUAGCUUCAUUUCUCUUAGUCCACUGCUGGUGACUAGAGGAAAACGCCGAAAUCCUCCUCCUUCAAUGGUGCUAUUAUGUUCGUGCAUUGGGAUUCUUCCUCCCCUGCUUUCACGGUGAACUUCUCCUCUCCUUCCUCUGAUCGAGCUACUGUGAUAUAUUGAGCAUCAGCAUUAUAGGGGAAUAACGUCCAACGUGAACCAAAAGUACACCUCCAAUUCACUCUAAAACUUCAUGACUGCAACAAUAAGGAUUAGAAUGUCAUAAUUCAGCAAGAGAAAGGAAAAGAUCAUCUGGUGCUGCUAUAGAAACCAAAGAGGAAAGAAAAACAGCAAAUCACCUCAACAAACUCAGUGACAGUAGCUACAAAUCAGUACGAGGCCUGUUUUGAAGAAGGAGAAGAGAAGAGCUUCAGUCUUCUACAAGGAGAACAACUAGAGAUUUCAACCAGCCAAAGAAAAUAAUCAAGCUACCCUACUCAAACACACGAAAUUUUCAGCAGCUACGCAGAAAGAAAAGAGAAAGGCUGAACAUGGGUAUACACCUCUUCAGUCACAAAACAGAGCAGCAACAAGGAAGGAAAUUCAACCUCUCAGCUGUGCAAGAAUGGAUGAGUAACAGAGGGACAAGGAAAGCAUGGAUUUCUGGCAGUGCGGAAAAAAACACACACGGCGAGACUACGCGACAGGAAAGAACAAAGACAAAGAAUGCACGCCUCUCUCUCACUCACUCUGUUGUGCAUUUUGACUGACAUGGAAGGAGGAAGAAUAUAAAACAUUUAAGUGGGUGGGAAAAUUACAAGAAAGAACCCCAUCAGAUUUUUUUUUUUUUUUUGCCAGCCGCCAUCAUCAUCAUCAUCUGUUUAUAAUAUGAGACAAGGGUACUUUGGUACUUCUCCAUACAAAAUAAGCUAAACUUUGACUUAAAUGA